rnacentral:lncRNA from 1 species
UAAAAGCAUACGAUGGGAGAUCAUAUUGUACUUGCGAGUGAGACCCGGCUGGAGGAAUGUUUUAAUUCUUCGGAAAUACCAAGUGGUCUCUAGAUGGGUUUUCACUAUUUUUCCCAGGCUAGUCUCCAACUUCUGGGCUCAAGCGAUCCACCCGCCUUGGCCUCCUAAGUCCUAGGAUUAUAGGGGGACCUUUGGCCAUGUCUUGAGAUGUUUUUGGUUGCCGUGAUUGAGGAGGUGCUACCAGCGUCUGCUGGGCAGAGACCAGGGAUGCUGCUCCACAUCCCACAAUGCACAGGACAAUCUUCUCUACAGCAAUGAAUUAUCCAGUUCACAAUCUCAAUAGCACCAAUAUUGAGAAACCCUGUUGAAGAUGGAGACUAUCCACGGGGCAUUGAUCUUGGGGUCUCCCCCUUCCUGAAUACUUGAAGUCCCUCGGCAGACUCUUGGAUACCUCCAGCAAUGGGGAGCUCACCACCUGUUUUGAAGCCAGGCAGGUUUGGGCUCUUCUUGUAGCUGUGUGACUCUGGAUUUUCCCAUAGGUGGGAGUGGAUCCACCACCUUGAGCUUCAGUUUCCUCCAGUGCCAUGGGAUUAGCAGCAGCCCUGCCUCACAGAUUGCGUGAGGAUGAAAUGAGAUGAUGCUCCUGAGUUGGCUGGUGCAGUGCACGGUACACAGAGAGUGCUCAAUAAAUGUUCCCUGCUGUGAAUG